rnacentral:rRNA from 1 species
UACGUAGGGUGCAAGCGUUGUCCGGAAUUAUUGGGCGUAAAGAGCUCGUAGGCGGUUUGUUGCGUCGGCCGUGAAAACCUGCAGCUUAACUGUGGGCCUGCGGCCGAUACGGGCAGACUUGAGUUCGGUAGGGGAGACUGGAAUUCCUGGUGUAGCGGUGAAAUGCGCAGAUAUCAGGAGGAACACCGAUGGCGAAGGCAGGUCUCUGGGCCGAUACUGACGCUGAGGAGCGAAAGCGUGGGGAGCGAACAGG